rnacentral:rRNA from 1 species
AACCUCCGCAAUGUGAGAAAUCGCGACGGGGGGAUCCCAAGUGCCAUUCUUAACGGGAUGGCUUUUCAUUAGUGUAAAGAGCUUUUGGAAUAAGAGCUGGGCAAGACCGGUGCCAGCCGCCGCGGUAACACCGGCAGCUCUAGUGGUAACAAUUUUUAUUGGGCCUAAAGCGUCCGUAGCCGGUUUAAUAAGUCUCUGGUGAAAUCCUGUAGCUUAACUGUGGGAAUUGCUGGAGAUACUAUUAGACUUGAGACCGGGAGAGGUUAGAGGUACUCCCAGGGUAGAGGUGAAAUUCUGUAAUCCUGGGAGGACCGCCUGUUGCGAAGGCGUCUAACUGGAACGGUUCUGACGGUGAGGGACGAAAGUUAGGGGCGCGAACCGGAUUAGAUACCCGGGUAGUCCUAACUGUAAACGAUGCGGACUUGGUGUUGGGGUGGCUUUGAGCUGCUCCAGUGCCGAAGGGAGCUGUUAAGUCCGCCGCCUGGGAAGUACGGUCGCAAGACUGAAACUUAAAGGAAGU